rnacentral:rRNA from 1 species
ACAUGCAAGUCGAGGGGAAACGACAUCGAAAGCUUGCUUUUGAUGGGCGUCGACCGGCGCACGGGUGAGUAACGCGUAUCCAACCUGCCCAUCACUUGGGAAUAACCUUGCGAAAGUAAGACUAAUACCCAAUGACAUCCCACGAAGGCAUCCGAAUGGGAUUAAAGAUUUAUCGGUGAUGGAUGGGGAUGCGUCUGAUUAGCUUGUUGGCGGGGUAACGGCCCACCAAGGCAACGAUCAGUAGGGGUUCUGAGAGGAAGGUCCCCCACAUUGGAACUGAGACACGGUCCAAACUCCUACGGGAGGCAGCAGUGAGGAAUAUUGGUCAAUGGGCGAGAGCCUGAACCAGCCAAGUAGCGUGCAGGACGACGGCCCUAUGGGUUGUAAACUGCUUUUAUAAGGGAAUAAAGUGGGUCACGUGUGACUUUUUGCAUGUACCUUAUGAAUAAGGACCGGCUAAUUCCGUGCCAGCAGCCGCGGUAAUACGGAAGGUCCGGGCGUUAUCCGGAUUUAUUGGGUUUAAAGGGAGCGUAGGCCGGAGAUUAAGCGUGUUGUGAAAUGUAGAGGCUCAACCUCUGCACUGCAGCGCGAACUGGUCUUCUUGAGUACGCACAAAGUGGGCGGAAUUCGUGGUGUAGCGGUGAAAUGCUUAGAUAUCACGAAGAACUCCGAUUGCGAAGGCAGCUCACUGGAGCGCAACUGACGCUGAAGCUCGAAAGUGCGGGUAUCGAACAGGAUUAGAUACCCUGGUAGUCCGCACGGUAAACGAUGGAUGCCCGCUGUUGGUCUGAAUAGGUCAGCGGCCAAGCGAAAGCA